rnacentral:rRNA from 1 species
AUGUUCCCUUCUACCACGGCCACGGCCUCCCGCCUCCUCGUCCCCGCCGCCUCUCGCCGCGCCAUGGCCACUGCCGCCUCCGCCAACCCGCCGCCCCCGCAGCAAUCGCCCUCCAAGGCGGUGCGGGUCGUGGUGAAGGGCCGCGUGCAGGGCGUCUUCUUCCGCGACUGGACGGUGGAGACGGCCCGCGCGCUCGGGCUCGCCGGCUGGGUCCGCAACCGCCGCGACGGCACCGUGGAGGCCCUCCUCUCCGGCGAACCCGCCAGGGUCGACGAGAUGGUCUCCCGGCGCCUUCCCGUCGGGCCUCCCGCCGCCGCCGUCACCGCGGUGCUGCCUUCCCCCGCCGAUCCGCUCGACCCCUCCGAGGGCUUCCACCGCAAGCCCACCGCCUGA